GCUGAAAUAUCUCAGUUGGUUAGAGCGUGCGUGUGGCUGUUAAUCACAAGGUCGGAGGUUUAAACCCUCCUUUUAGCG